rnacentral:rRNA from 1 species
AGUGAACGCUGGCGGUAGGCCUAACACAUGCAAGUCGAACGGCAGCACAGGAGAGCUUGCUCUCUGGGUGGCGAGUGGCGGACGGGUGAGGAAUACAUCGGAAUCUACUUUUUCGUGGGGGAUAACGUAGGGAAACUUACGCUAAUACCGCAUACGACCUACGGGUGAAAGCAGGGGAUCUUCGGACCUUGCGCGAUUGAAUGAGCCGAUGUCGGAUUAGCUAGUUGGCGGGGUAAAGGCCCACCAAGGCGACGAUCCGUAGCUGGUCUGAGAGGAUGAUCAGCCACACUGGAACUGAGACACGGUCCAGACUCCUACGGGAGGCAGCAGUGGGGAAUAUUGGACAAUGGGCGCAAGCCUGAUUCAGCCAUACCGCGUGGGUGAAGAAGGCCUUCGGGUUGUAAAGCCCUUUUGUUGGGAAAGAAAUCCAGCUGGUUAAUACCCGGUUGGGAUGACGGUACCCAAAGAAUAAGCACCGGCUAACUUCGUGCCAGCCGCCGCAGUAACAC